UACGUAGGGGGCAAGCGUUGUCCGGAAUCAUUGGGCGUAAAGAGCUCGUAGGCGGUGUGUCACGUCGGCCGUGAAAACCUGCAGCUUAACUGUGGGCUUGCGGUCGAUACGGGCAUCACUGGAGUUCGGCAGGGGAGACUGGAAUUCCUGGUGUAGCGGUGAAAUGCGCAGAUAUCAGGAGGAACACCGGUGGCGAAGGCGGGUCUCUGGGCCGAUACUGACGCUGAGGAGCGAAAGCGUGGGGAGCGAACAGG
rnacentral:rRNA from 1 species